GAAAGGGCUGUAGCUCAGUGGUAGAUCAUCUGCUUUGCAUGCAGAAAGCCCCAGGUUCAAUCCUUGGCCUUGACA